UGCCUGGAGUGAAGAUUCUGCCCAUUGGUCAAGAGACCUCCCUCUCAGAUGCUGGCUCUGCCCCUGCCUUUGGGGGUCGACCCUUGUACUCGCAGGACCUUAGGUGACUCUAUUCUACUUCUCUGAUCAUCCAGGAAACCAAUCUGCCUGAGGACGAGUCAUACUCUGUCCUCCCACCCCAGGCUAGAGAGUGGUAUCUGUCUUUCCACAAGUUCUUGAUGCAGAUGAGCAGGUAGCCAUGGAAGUCAUGAGCUGAGGCUGCAGAGUCUAGAGCCAGAGCGUGGAAUAAACUUGGGUCUCAAAUCACCCCUGGAGCAAAGCCCCCAUCUAAUCAGGAACUUCUACUUUCAACUUUACAUGCGUGAGAAAUGAACUUCUAUCAUGUUAGAGAAAUCCUUACACGGUGCCCUUGAGAGCUUUCAUACCGCAAGUUAUCCA
rnacentral:antisense_RNA from 1 species